GCCUCUGUAGCUCAGUUGGUUAGAGCGCUGCACCGGAAUUGUAGGACCGUAGGUUCAAUUCCUACCAGAGGAC